rnacentral:lncRNA from 1 species
CAAAGGGCAUAAACAUUACAACAUCAAUAAUUUUUUUAUAAUACAAUACAAACAAUGAGAUAAAAAAAAAAAAAGUUAAACGAGAACUAUUUAAGUUCUUAAAGAAUACGUAGAUAAAGAAUCCAUAGUAUGUUGGUUUUUUUUAAUACUAAUGCAUUUUAUUACAAGUGUGGUUGAUAUAGAUAACAAACAAGCAGCCCA